UACGUAGGGGGCUAGCGUUGUCCGGAAUCAUUGGGCGUAAAGCGCGUGUAGGCGGUCCGGUAAGUCCGCUGUGAAAGUCGGGGGCUCAACCCUCGGAUGCCGGUGGAGUACUGUCGGGCUUGAGUACGGAAGAGGCGAGUGGAAUUCCCGGUGUAGCGGUGAAAUGCGCAGAGUAUCAGGAGGAACACCAAUUGCGAAGGCAGCUCGCUGGGACGUCACUGACGCUGGAGACGCGAAAGCGUGGGGAGCAAACAGG
rnacentral:rRNA from 1 species